UGCUGCUUUGCUGACGAGUGGCGGACGGGUGAGUAAUGUCUGGGAAACUGCCUGAUGGAGGGGGAUAACUACUGGAAACGGUAGCUAAUACCGCAUAACGUCGCAAGACCAAAGAGGGGGACCUUCGGGCCUCUUGCCAUCGGAUGUGCCCAGAUGGGAUUAGCUAGUAGGUGGGGUAAAGGCUCACCUAGGCGACGAUCCCUAGCUGGUCUGAGAGGAUGACCAGCCACACUGGAACUGAGACACGGUCCAGACUCCUACGGGAGGCAGCAGUGGGGAAUAUUGCACAAUGGGCGCAAGCCUGAUGCAGCCAUGCCGCGUGUAUGAAGAAGGCCUUCGGGUUGUAAAGUACUUUCAGCGGGGAGGAAGGGAGUAAAGUUAAUACCUUUGCUCAUUGACGUUACCCGCAGAAGAAGCACCGGCUAACUCCGUGCCAGCAGCCGCGGUAAUACGGAGGGUGCAAGCGUUAAUCGGAAUUACUGGGCGUAAAGCGCACGCAGGCGGUUUGUUAAGUCAGAUGUGAAAUCCCCGGGCUCAACCUGGGAGCUGCAUCUGAUACUGGCAAGCUUGAGUCUCGUAGAGGGGGGUAGAAUUCCCAGGUGUAGCGGUGAAAUGCGUAGAGAUCUGGAGGAAUACCGGUGGCGAAGGCGGCCCCCUGGACGAAGACUGACGCUCAGGUGCGAAAGCGUGGGGAGCAAACAGG
rnacentral:rRNA from 1 species